rnacentral:rRNA from 1 species
AACGCGAAGAACCUUACCUACCCUUGACAUCCAGAGAACUUUCCAGAGAUGGAUUGGUGCCUUCGGGAACUCUGAGACAGGUGCUGCAUGGCUGUCGUCAGCUCGUGUUGUGAAAUGUUGGGUUAAGUCCCGCAACGAGCGCAACCCUUAUCCUUUGUUGCCAGCGGUCCGGCCGGGAACUCAAAGGAGACUGCCAGUGAUAAACUGGAGGAAGGUGGGGAUGACGUCAAGUCAUCAUGGCCCUUACGAGUAGGGCUACACACGUGCUACAAUGGCGCAUACAAAGAGAAGCGAACUCGCGAGAGCAAGCGGACCUCAUAAAGUGCGUCGUAGUCCGGAUUGGAGUCUGCAACUCGACUCCAUGAAGUCGGAAUCGCUAGUAAUCGUAGAUCAGAAUGCUACGGUGAAUACGUUCCCGGGCCUUGUACACACCG